AGUYCCUUCUUUUUCUUUUAAUCUUUCCAUUAAUGUUCUAGUGUAAGGUUAACGUUUUGGUUUGUAGAAUUUUCUUGGUUAGUUACUAAAGGAGGUUCAUUUUCGUUAAUUGCCAUUAGUUUAUCUAAUGUGGCUUAGACUUACAUUUUGGAGAAAGGUUAUUUCUUGUUACUAGUUCUAGCAUAAUAUCUUCCAUAUUUUUAUGGAAUUACUCAAUAUUGGGGAGGGGUUUUAGGUGGUUUGAGGAAUUAGAAAAAGAAAAUGUUAAGCUUUGACGCUUUUAUUUAAGGUGGCUGCUUUUAGGCCCACUAAUCAUUUUAUUUUUGAUGUAUUACCCUAUAAUAAAGGUUGUAUCCUGUUUCAAAUAAGCUGUGCCUUAUUUGAAUAGCUCUUAAGUUUUAUUAAGGUUUAGAAGAACUAAAAUAAACUUAAGGUUGAACUUAUAUUCUUUUCUUGAGUAACCAGCUAUUUCUGAGUGCGGUAGGUUUAUCACCUCUACUUGGAAAUCUUUCCACUCUAUUGCAACAGAGACGGGUUGGCUCUUAUAGCUGUUUCGAAGUAGCUCACAUCAGUUUCGGGGGGUUAAACUUAAAAUUCGUUUUGCUUAGUUAAACUAGCUAGACCAUGAUGC
rnacentral:rRNA from 1 species